rnacentral:rRNA from 1 species
UACGGAGGGUGCAAGCGUUAUCCGGAUUUACUGGGUUUAAAGGGUGUGUAGGCGGGUCUAUAAGUCAGUGGUGAAAUCUCCGGGCUCAACCCGGAAACUGCCAUUGAUACUAUAGGUCUUGAAUAUUGUGGAGGUGGGCGGAAUGUGUCAUGUAGCGGUGAAAUGCUUAGAGAUGACACAGAACACCGAUUGCGAAGGCAGCCCACUACGCAACUAUUGACGCUGAGGCACGAAAGCGUGGGGAGCGAACAGG